CUUUCUCACUUCACUUAGCUGUUUCUCAUCCUUUCUCUCUCUUUAAUUCCUAAAAUCCUCUCUAAUCUUUUGCAACCCCUUAAUCCCUCUCCAAUCUUUGAAUUAUUUUCAUCAAUCUACGUUUCCUGCUAAACACUACGCCUUCUUCUCAGCAUCUCCUUCAUCAUCAAUCCAAGCAAGUUGCGGCCACUCAAAUCCAUCUUUGUUUCAGGGAGGAGAAGAUUCAUUCCACAAUGGAGGAUGGGCAAAACCAAGAGAAUUGAAGAUUGUAUAUAAAAUCACUGUAGCUUUUGAAAUCCAAUUUGUAAUUUGUUAAGUAGACUUGGUUUGUAAUCUAUUAAGUAAUUUUUUUAGAAAAUUUUAUUUGGGAUUAAAUUGUUAUUUUUCUUUAGAAUUUUAAAAUGCAAUUGAAUGAACAGAACAAAAUUAGGUUGAGUCAAUAAAAUCAGGUUGGUCGAGUUGACCCAACCCGUAUAAA